UACGUAGGGUGCGAGCGUUGUCCGGAAUUAUUGGGCGUAAAGAGCUCGUAGGCGGUCUGUCGCGUCGGCUGUGAAAACCCGGAGCUCAACUCCGGGCCUGCAGUCGAUACGGGCAGACUGGAGUUCGGCAGGGGAGACUGGAAUUCCUGGUGUAGCGGUGAAAUGCGCGGAUAUCAGGAGGAACACCAGCGGCGAAGGCGGCGCUCUGGGCCGGAACUGACGCUGAGGAGCGAAAGCGUGGGUAGCAAACAGG
rnacentral:rRNA from 1 species